rnacentral:rRNA from 1 species
CAGCUCUCCGAGUAGUGUGGAUGUUUAUUGGGCCUAAAGCAUCCGUAGCUUGCUAUACAAGUCCCCUGUUAAAUCCACCGAUUUAAUCGUUGGAUUGCGGGGGAUACUGUUUGGCUAGGGGACGGGAGAGGCCGACGGUAUUUCCGGGGUAGGGGUGAAAUCCUAUAAUCCCGGGAGGACCACCAGUGGCGAAGGCUGUCGGCUAGAACGCGCCCGACGGUGAGGGAUGAAAGCUGGGGGAGCGAACCGGAUUAGAUACCCGAGUAGUCC